rnacentral:rRNA from 1 species
UGCGUAGGCGGUCGGCUAAGUCUGAUGUGAAAUCUCCGGGCUCAACCCGGAAACUGCAUCGGAUACUAGUCGGCUAGAGGAUUGGAGGGGGGACUGGAAUUCUCGGUGUAGCAGUGAAAUGCGUAGAUAUCGAGAGGAACACCAGUGGCGAAGGCGAGUCCCUGGACAAUUCCUGACGCUGAGGCACGAAAGCUAGGGGAGCAAACA